rnacentral:rRNA from 1 species
CCCUACGGGGGGCAGCAGUGGGGAAUAUUGCACAAUGGGGGAAACCCUGAUGCAGCAACGCCGCGUGAGUGAAGGAGUAUUUCGGUAUGUAAAGCUCUAUCAGUAGGGAAGAAGAAAGACGGUACCUGACUAAGAAGCCCCGGCUAACUACGUGCCAGCAGCCGCGGUAAUACGUAGGGGGCAAGCGUUAUCCGGAUUUACUGGGUGUAAAGGGAGCGUAGACGGCUGUGCAAGUCAGAAGUGAAAUCCAUGGGCUUAACCCAUGAACUGCUUUUGAAACUGUUUAUCUUGAGGGAAGUAGAGGU